rnacentral:tRNA from 11 species
AGCCAAAUGGUUGACACAUCCGCCCGGAAACCAAGAGGGUGCAGGUCCAAAUCCCG